AUUGAACGCUGUCGGCAGGCCUAACACAUGCAAGUCGAGCGGACGAAGGGGGCUUGCUCCUGGAUUCAGCUGCCGACGGGCGAGUGAUGACUAGGAAUCUGACUGGCAUUGGGGGAUAACGUCAGUAAGCGGGCGCUAAUAUCGCAUACGUCCUGAUGGAGAACGUGGGGGAUCUUCUGACCUAACGCUUUCAGAUGACCCUUAGUCGGAUUACCUAGUUGGUGGGGUAAAGGCCUACCAAGGCGACGAUCCGUAACUGGUCUGAGAGGAUGAUCAGUCACACUGGAACUGAGACACGGUCCAGACUCCUACGGGAGGCAGCAGUGGGGAAUAUUGGGCAAUGGGCGAAAGCCUGAUCCAGCAAUGCCGCGUGUGUGAAGAAGGUCUUCGGAUUGUAAAGCACUGUUAGUUGGGAGGAACGGCAGUAAGUUAAUACGUGGCUGUUUUGACGUUACCAAAAGAAUAAGCAACGGCUAACUACGUG
rnacentral:rRNA from 1 species